AUGGUGGUGCAGCAGUGUACGGUGGCGCUCUUGGUGGCCGUCGCCCUCGUGGCGGGGCCAGCCAUCUCGUAUGCUGUCGAAGCUAGCUACGCCCCAGCCGGGCCACAGCCCAAGGCCACGACUGAGGAGUAG
rnacentral:rRNA from 1 species